GGACAACCCCAAAUGUGAAAAUGCCGAAUACCGGGUUUAUGCCCAGUCCAAAGUUCAUAUGGCGUUUUUAGAUUGUAGCUACAGUUGGAACUCUAUUAAGAAUAUAAGUUGCAUUUUUUAAUAUGGAUUGGGAUUUUUCAUGAAUAAUAUAGGUACCCAUAACGAGAGUAAUGUUUAUCAAUUUUAAGACGUCCGAAGCUCUCUUAGCACCUAAUCUAGUCUUGUUUGUUUUGUUUUC
rnacentral:lncRNA from 1 species